GAACGCAUAUUGCGCUCUUUGGUAUUCCGAAGAGCAUGCUUGUUUGAGUAUCAGUAAACACCUCAACGCUUUUGGAUUUUUUUUGAAAGCUUUGGACUUGAGCAAUCCCAACGCCAAUCUUUUUCAGCUCGGCGGCGGGUUGCUUGAAUUGCAGGUGCAGCUGGACUUUCUCCUGAGCUAAAAGCAUAUUCAUUUAGUCCCGUCAAACGGAUUAUUACUUUUGCUGCAGCUAACAUAAAGGGAGUUUGACCGUAUUGGCUGACUGAUGCAGGAUUUCACAAGGGUCGGCAACGAUUCUUGUAAAACUCGAUCUCAAAUCAAGUAAGACUACCCGCUGAACUUAAG
rnacentral:misc_RNA from 1 species